rnacentral:lncRNA from 1 species
UUUUUUCAAAUUGUUCUUUGUGCUGGUCAUUCAACUUAUUGCUUUAAGUUAUCCCCGAAACCACUAAUUAUAUCCUGUUGUAAAUGUUUAAAUACAAAGGAGUAGGUCCGGUAAGGACCGAUUUUGGCCUCAAAUUUCAGGUUCAUCUAACGAAAGAUUUUGACCACUUUUUAAACACUUAAGUGUCUAUUUCAUUUGAAUCAAUUAGUUUAUGUGAAAGAUUUUAACUGAUAUAGUCAUAAAAAACGAUCCGAUUCGAGCUCAAAUAUGAAAAAUCUACCAAAUAUGCC